rnacentral:rRNA from 1 species
UACGUAGGGGGCAAGCGUUGUCCGGAUUUAUUGGGCGUAAAGCGCUCGCAGGUGGUUCAUUGCGUCGUGCGUGAAAGACCCCGGCUCAACUGGGGAGGGUCGUGCGAAACGGGUGAACUAGAGGCCAGUAGGGGGAUGUGGAAUUCCGGGUGUAGUGGUGGAAUGCGUAGAGAUCCGGAGGAGCACCAGCGGCGAAGGCGGCAUCCUGGACUGGUCCUGACACUCAGGAGCGAAAGCGUGGGGAGCGAGCCGG